AUCUUUAUGUAGUUCAUGUGCUUGAUGAUUAGAUAUUCAUGUACCUACGUGAGAUGUGCCUCCUUUAAACCUUGUUACUAUGUUGGCAAAUUAUCCUUCUGACA